GGGCUGUCCUGACGGUCAGGGACGAAAGCUGGGGGAGCGAACCGGAUUAGAUACCCGGGUAGUCCCAGCCGUAAACCAUGGGCGCUAGGCGUUGUCCGCAAGGGCAGUGCCUCAGCUAACGCGGUAAGCGCCCCGCCUGGGGAGUACGGGCGCAAGCCUGAAACUCAAAGGAAUUGGCGGGGGCCCGCACAACCGGUGGAGCGUCUGGUUCAAUUCGAUGCUAACCGAAAAACCUUACCCGGGCUUGACAUGGUAGGAAACCCUUGCGAAAGCGAGGGGUGCCGUCCUCUGGACGGAAUCCUACCACAGGUGGUGCAUGGCCGUCGUCAGCUCGUGUCGUGAGAUGUUGGGUUAAGUCCCGCAACGAGCGCAACCCCUGCCCUUAGUUGCCACUCUUCGGAGGGCACUCUAAGGGGACUGCCGGCGAUAAGCCGGAGGAAGGUGGGGAUGACGUCAGGUCAGUAUGCCCUUUAUGCCCGGGGCUACACAGGCGCUACAGUGGCCGGGACAAUGGGAAGCGACCCAGCAAUGGGGAGCAAAUCCCCCAAACCCGGUCAUGGUGCAGAUUGAGGGCUGAAACUCGCCCUCAUGAAGCCGGAAUCGGUAGUAAUGGCGGAUCAGCUAAGCCGCCGUGAAUACGUUCUCGGGCCUUGCACACACCGCCCGUCA
rnacentral:rRNA from 1 species